rnacentral:misc_RNA from 1 species
GCGAUCUCUUAAAGUAAAGCCCGAUCUGUUUAAAAAAACAGAACGUUUAGACAUAUGUUUAAAUUCUUAAGGUCUUUAAAUGCUUAUGGAACUUAAAAAUCAUAAGUUUAAAGAAAGGUUUUAUGAAGAAAGCUCUUUUAAGCUUUUUCAGUGAUUUAAGAUGAUACCGGGGAAGGUUUUCCGGUUUAUCCCGGAGGGCUUGUAGCUCAGUUGGUUAGAGCGCGCGCU